AAGGCGUCGACGGGUAGCCGGCCUGAGAGGGUGACCGGCCACACUGGGACUGAGACACGGCCCAGACUCCUACGGGAGGCAGCAGUGGGGAAUAUUGCACAAUGGGCGCAAGCCUGAUGCAGCAACGCCGCGUGAGGGACGACGGCCUUCGGGUUGUAAACCUCUUUUAGCAGGGAAGAAGCGAAAGUGACGGUACCUGCAGAAAAAGCGCCGGCUAACUACGUGCCAGCAGCCGCGGUAAUACGUAGGGCGCAAGCGUUAUCCGGAAUUAUUGGGCGUAAAGAGCUCGUAGGCGGUUUGUCGCGUCUGCUGUGAAAUCCGGAGGCUCAACCUCCGGCCUGCAGUGGGUACGGGCAGACUAGAGUGCGGUAGGGGAGAUUGGAAUUCCUGGUGUAGCGGUGGAAUGCGCAGAUAUCAGGAGGAACACCGAUGGCGAAGGCAGAUCUCUGGGCCGUAACUGACGCUGAGGAGCGAAAGGGUGGGGAGCAAACAGGCUUAGAUACCCUGGUAGUCCACCCCGUAAACGUUGGGAACUAGUUGUGGGGUCCAUUCCACGGAUCCCGAGGCA
rnacentral:rRNA from 1 species